rnacentral:sRNA from 1 species
GGGAAGGAUGAGAAGCUUCGACUAAGGUUCGACUAAGGUUCGACUAAGGUUCGACUCGAGCGAAGCGAGAGAACGUUGCCGCAGGCAACGGCCCGAAGGGCGAAGCGCUUUAGCGCCGAGUAAUCCUUCCCCCACCACUG